CUGGCGGCGUGCCUAACACAUGCAAGUCGCACGAGAAAGUGGAGCAAUCCAUGAGUAAAGUGGCGCACGGGUGAGUAACACGUGAAUGAUCUACCUCCGAGUGGGGAAUAACCUAGAGAAAUCUGGGCUAAUACCGCAUAACACUUACGAGUCGAAGCAGCAAUGCGCUUGGAGAGGAGUUCGCGGCCGAUUAGUUAGUUGGCGGGGUAAUGGCCCACCAAGACGAUGAUCGGUAUCCGGCCUGAGAGGGCGCACGGACACACUGGAACUGAAACACGGUCCAGACUCCUACGGGAGGCAGCAGUGGGGAAUUUUGCGCAAUGGGGGAAACCCUGACGCAGCAACGCCGCGUGGAGGAUGAAAUCCCUUGGGAUGUAAACUCCUUUCGAUCGGGACGAUUAUGACGGUACCGGAAGAAGAAGCCCCGGCUAACUUCGUGCCAGCAGCCGCGGUAAUACGAGGGGGGCAAGCGUUGUUCGGAAUUAUUGGGCGUAAAGGGCGCGUANGCGGUUUGACAAGUCUGAUGUGAAAUCUCUGGGCUCAACUC
rnacentral:rRNA from 1 species